rnacentral:rRNA from 1 species
AGAGUUUGAUCAUGGCUCAGGACGAACGCUGGCGGCGUGCUUAACACAUGCAAGUCGAGCGAUGAAACACCUUCGGGUGUGAAUUAGCGGCGAACGGGUGAGGAACACGUGAAGAAUCUGCCUUCAACUCUGGGAUAACUCCGGGAAACCGGGGCUAAUACCGGAUAUGAGCCUCGAUCGCAUGAUUGGGGCUGGAAAGUUUUUCGGUUGAAGAUGACUUCGCGGCCUAUCAGCUUGUUGGUGAGGUAAUGGCUCACCAAGGCGACGACGGGUAGCCGGCCUGAGAGGGCGACCGGCCACACUGGGACUGAGACACGGCCCAGACUCCUACGGGAGGCAGCAGUGGGGAAUAUUGGGCAAUGGAGGAAACUCUGACCCAGCGACGCCGCGUGAGGGAUGAAGGCCUUCGGGUUGUAAACCUCUUUCAGUAGGGAAGAAGCGAAAGUGACGGUACCUACAGAAGAAGCACCGGCUAACUAUGUGCCAGCAGCCGCGGUAAUACAUAGGGUGCAAGCGUUGUCCGGAAUUAUUGGGCGUAAAGAGCUCGUAGGUGGUUCGAUACGUCGGAUGUGAAAAUCAGGGGCUCAACCCCUGACCUGCAUCCGAUACGGUCGAGCUAGAGUUUGGUAGGGGAGACUGGAAUUCCUGGUGUAGCGGUGGAAUGCGCAGAUAUCAGGAGGAACACCGAUGGCGAAGGCAGGUCUCUGGGCCAAUACUGACACUGAGGAGCGAAAGCGUGGGGAGCGAACAGGAUUAGAUACCCUGGUAGUCCACGCCGUAAACGGUGGGCGC